AGUUAGCACAACAUUGGGACGUCUUCUUUGCAUCCUUCAGUUUUAAGUCUUCUGCAGAGGUAUGAAAGUGAAUUUUGUCUCUCUUUUUUUUGCCUUCAGCGGGAUAUCUGUCCUGCACACCAAAAGAUCUGACAAAAAGGAUGAAAAGCUGAUGCCUGAGGCCUGGAGACAUUUACAAACAGCCACGCUUUCAAACAGUAAAUGGAAUUAUUGUAUUUUUUCAUGUUUUGAAUUCUUUCCAAACGUCACAUGGGGAGAAACAUACUUUAAUUCCAACACUGUUGACAGACAAAGAUAUGAGGGAGUGGAAUUUUUUUCAUUAUCAUAAUGUCAGGACUGGCUUUUUGUCCCAGAAGAAAUGAAAAAGAAAAUAAACGUAUUUACGGGAGUGACAAUAAGGACACAGAUUGUUUGCAGGAGCUGUCCGGGUGUCCUGCUUGUAAAAGACCCAAUAAUGUUACCCUGAUCCUGCCAUGCUCUCACACCAUGUGUGUGCACUGUAUGUCUGCCCAAGAGGCCAAGCGGUCUGGUCGAUCCCACCGACAUAAUUUGAGCUGCUCUGUGUUGUGUCCACUGUGUGGCUACCAUGUGGAGCUGCCCUGCGAGACGUGGUCGUCUGCUUUGUCCUGUCUCCCGCGAUAUCCCACCCUGAAGUUCACACGUGCCAGCCAGGAUGACAUUGGCAGACGGGAGAUGGCUUCUGAACCACAUCAACUGCAAGUUCCAGUGCUUGCAGUUUCACUAUACCACCAGCUGGGAGCAAUGUGGAUCUACAGGAGGAGGAGAUAGAGAGGUCUGUUUUUGGUUUGCGCUUUGCUUUGGACCCAUUAACUGCCCCCACCUCUCUCCACCUUUCCAACUCCUUGCUCAUUGUCACUUACCGAGGAAUAAGCCCUACUUGUUCACUUCCAAAAGUCAGGAGGUUGAUGAUGACCUCUGACCUUGGCGUGACGCAGGACCUCCCUCAGGUUUGCGCUGAUGUCAUCAUUGCUCAGGGCCAAUAUUACUGGGAGGUAGAUGUCUACAACAGCUCCAUCUAUAAAAUUGAAUGUUGGACAAGUGCUGACCAGGGUGAGAGCUGUCUGCCAGGAUUUUCUUUGCUCUGCCAAGACAGCGAGAGCAAGCAAUGUCCUCUAUGGAGGGCAGAGAGUGGCCGAUCAUCUUCUCCGCUGUCCGGGUCAA